CCUAGUUAAGCAUUCAUACUAUCUCAUGACAUCUCAGAAUUCUCUGGAACUGGAGUUAAUCCUGUGCUUGUGACUGCUGGUUCUUCCAUUAAGCUGAGAUGAGCCAGACACCUUUACUCAGUGAAAGAACUCAUGGGUUCUGGACCUAUGAAAGGCAAGAAGUGAAUCCACUGGGUUCAUUGACAAAACACUUGGAGCCUGAGCACCUGAAUUAGAACAUGAAGAAUGUACCAUAAACUUCUGAAGAAUGGAGAUACUUAAGCAGUUUAUAGUUUGACACUGAAGACAUAGGAAAUGAGUGGAUCAGAGCUUCAUCUGGCCGGUGACUGCAUGACUCCAUCAAAGAGCCAUUAUGGCACAUACCAAGAAAGGGGCUGGCUUCAGGGCUAAGAUUACUAUGGGUCCAUAUUAUCUAUUCUUACUUUGCAAAUGAAAUGAGUCUGCUUGUAAAGUAAAUAUCCAUCAUGUUCCAUGAAAGAGUUGGGAAGCAGUGAUGCCUGUCUGAAAUGAGCCCCAAUGUAGCUCAGUUUCAUAUGUAGGUGUCAAUAGCUCUUUUAUGGGCUGCUUGGGAUACAUCAGAUGUAUAUCAGAUAUAAUUAUCCUCUUUUGUUAAAGUGCCACUGAGUCUGGCCCAGUUUAAAACUCAGCCCCUGCCUAGUCUAGGGUGAUAAUUUUCGUCACUUCCUUUGGCCAACUUUCAUAACCUGGAGAGGUUCAAUUGCAGUUAGCUGCAAUAGUGUAAAAUUAAUAACUUUUGUAUAUUCCUGUGCUGUAAGCACUGGAUGCAGCUACUGUGCUGUAAUAUUAGAUUAAACUGAGUACAUUAUUAGCUUUAUCAAUGAUUCAUUACAACCUUAAUGCCAACCGAAAGGACACAGAGUACCCAUUUACCAGUGUACCUCUGGCAAACACUGCAACGCAUACAGGUGCUUUCUUUGGAAGAGCCUUUAUCAAGGGUAUAAAGUAAUAGAAAUUUUCUGAGUUCAGUACAUGUGUUUCAAGUAUAUUAUAUCAGAAAUAGGAAAAAAAACCCUGCAUUUAACUUCAGACUUAAAGCAAGGUGCUUAAGAUGAGACUCUGAGCCAUGUAUUCCAGGAAGCCAGGUUUAAUACAAAAUCUGUGUGACAGCAGACAACUGUAGACUGAGAACUAGACCAUUUGUAACACUGAUUGAUCACUGUGCUCAUGUCAGUGUCUGUGAAGGCUGGAGCCACUGAAUGUGACUGUGAAAUAAGCUUGAAUAUAGAAACAGAGACUCUCAAAGACUCACAGAGGCACAUGGUAUGUGAGCAAUUGCCUCCUCUUAGCCAUCCCCUUCAUGUCUUCCCCCAUGUUUUGGAAGGUGUUGUCUCCCUGAUUCAUUGAUCCAUCCAUUUCCUCCACAGAAAAGUCAUUCCUCUUUCACUCACCCCUUCACAGCAGGCCCUGAAGGAAGGGUGGGCACUUGGAGUGCUCUGAAUAUGUAGAUGAAUGCUAACCAAUAACAGAAUAAAACAGGGGACAUUUUCCUUUCCCUUUUGGGCCAGGAUGACAAGGGGUAUUUCAAAGAGCUGACUUUAGCUGGUACAGAUGCAAUUCACAGUUUCAAGGCUUCCCAGUCCAUUUGAAAGCUGAGGCAUUGGCCUGUGAUACGCACACUUGUCAACAACUGUAUAUUCACCCCUGUGGGCUUGAAUCAAACCCUGCUACACCCUAGUUUGUCACCGGUAUAACCACUGAUUUCAGUUAAAUUAGUCUUUAUUUACACUGGUGAGUAUGAAGAAAGGCAGGUUUGCUAAGUGCAGCAGAUCACAGAAACCAGUCUUUUUCUUCAAGGGAGGCGUUAGUCACCACUGCAGGCACUUUGAUUUGUUAGUCUGUACACAGUGCAAGCUUUCAAGAAAGCAAGAGUAUUUAUGUAGAUUUCCUGGGAUGUUCAGCACUCUUGUAAACCCUUGGGUUGGUUUUGGUAAGGUUCAUGAAAAUAGGUAAUUGUCUGCUUCAAAAAUGAAUUAGUGGAACUCCAGAAACAGAUUCCAGUGGGGGUUAGAAGCAAGGGUUGCUGUGUGUGAGACUGACAAGGAAAUACCUGUGUCCCAAGAACAGCCCAAAGGUGUUUACAGGGCAUCUUUGUUAGGACCUAAAGGAUGGGAGUAGUGCACUUAUGAUAACUAUUACUCACCAGUAGCCAUUUGAAUGUGCCUUCUAGAGCUCAAAGUCCUUCUAAGAAAAUAAAUAGUUAUUAAUGAUAACAGUUAUAUUACUGGGGCCUUUGGAACCCUGUUGGGAUCCUCUGACCCAGGACCAGGAGACUCAGUAAACCUUGGGUAAGAAAAUUAAACUUUCCAGUGAUUAGGUUUCACUUCACUGUAGAUAAAUCUGUAUUUCUACUAGAAAAUAUUUAGGAUUUAAUGACUCAAAAAUAACUGAAAACUACUGAAUACUACUUUGGCGAUUUGCAGAUUACAG